UGCUGUAAUGAUGAUCUUGUUAUAAACAAUGGGAAUCUCUCUGAAUAAGAGUGAAAGAGAAUAUUUAACUGAUGCAGCA